rnacentral:lncRNA from 10 species
GAGAGGGAGCCAGGGCUGCUAACACAUUGUCACCUCUCACUGGGAUUACAGUGAAGUUCUGCAACAACAGAAAAUGUGUGACAAAAAUGCCAGAAUUAUUAUAGUCUCCCUUUAGUUCCUGAAUAUCAUUAAGAAAAGAAAAUUAAUCUGCUACUCUUAGAAGAGUUCCAGGGCUAUGAAUAACUAUUCUAUGAAAAAAUAAUAUCACAGUGAAUUUACUUCAUUUCCCUAAAACAUCUAAGUAUAUAGUAAAAAGAGAGAGUAUUCCCUCCAGACAAAGGCUUUCAAGCAACCACAGGAGAAAAUGCCCUGUGUAGGGAUAAUGAAUAUUAAUCUAAAAUAAUUUUUUCUAAUAUAUGGUUUAAUUCCA